rnacentral:snoRNA from 1 species
UUGUGAGAGGUGGGAUAACCUUACCUGUUCUUCCUUUUGGAGGGCAGAUUAGAACAUGAUGAUUGCAGUUCACAGGAUACAUGAUUAAAGUCUCUGCACAAUCAGUAUUUGCAAUAUCCUGAUUGUUCCUAUCUGGU